rnacentral:tRNA from 11 species
AAUCCCCAGUGGGAUUCGAACUCACAACCUUCCGGUUGGUGGUUGAACCCUGUACCACUCAGUCAUGGGUAG